CAAAUUUGUCCGUUUGUCACAACCUAACCAUGAGUCACACAGGCAGUAACAAGUCAAAUUGUAGUUACCCUCAGCCGGGGCCUGUAUCUUGCCCAUCACCAGUCUGGAGCCACUUCUCACCUUCUCAGCUGCUUCUCUAACUGCAGCACUCGUCUCCUUUACAGUCGCUCCAGACCCUUCCAUAGUGUCCUCAAUCGCCUUUGAAGCUGCUGUAAUAGCUGCAGGUUCAUCCAUGAAACUGACCUUUUGGGAAAACCACACAUUAUUUGAGACAGAGUCUGCAAGCAGGAACCAAAAGUUUUCUUCCUUGUGGAAUGGGUAGUAGGGGGCAUGGGGGAGGGCACCAAUCAGGCCAUUACCACGUUUGAGAGUAACCCAAGCUUGAAUCGUCACAAUGUCACCCUCUUGUAUACCC
rnacentral:lncRNA from 1 species